ensembl:lncRNA
AGGAGGGAGAAGAGAAAACUGACAAGGGGAGGCUCAAAUAAGACAUUUAUUCCAAUUACUUUACCUGGGAAAAAGAAGUGGUUCCAGGGAGCAAUUCUGACACAUGUCCUUCAGGAACUCUGUCAUAUUGAACUUAUAAGCAUCCUGUGGGCUCUUUCAGCCCAUACUCAGCUCCCACUAGUUGCCCAAACAAACCAUGUGCUUUCUGAGUCUGCUUCGUAGGCUUUUCUCCUUGUUUUCCUGCUCUCCUAGAGAAUUCUCACAUUGUCUUCAGGUCUCAGUUUAAAACACUCUUCAGAGUGACCAUCCCCAAUUCUUAGAAUUUAUUUGAUGCCCCAAUGUUCUGCCAUUGAAUUCUUUUGUCAUGACAUUCAUAGUAUUUAUUUAAUAUAUUCUUUCCUCAACAAAGUCAAAUCGAUAUCUAACUAUGUGUUUGCUGUUAGCGUAACAUCUGUAUCUCCAAGGAUGAGUUCAGUGCCUGGCACUUUCAUCCUUCAUAAACACCUGUUGAAUGGACAAAAGAGACUCCUGAAUACUGACAUUUACAAAAGUGGAUGAUAUGUGAAUAGGGUUCUCAUGGAUAAGGUAAAAAAAAGCACCAUUCCCAGCACCACUAAAGAACAUUUUCAAAUUAUUACAAAAUUAAACUGGGCUAUAAAGCAAGAAAGACCCAAAAUAUGUUUUUAUGAGUGAGACUAAUGAUUCUCUGGUGGCCUUUUUUGCCAUUCCAGUCAGUAAUGAAGUUUCCAUGACUCCAUUCACCACUUUUUGUCUUUACCUGAACACAGUUAUUGAAUGCCAACCAUGUGCCAACCCCUUUCAAGAAGCUGGGGAUACAGGCAGGAAAAGACAUCCCUGGCAUCCUGGAGCCCACCUUAUCAAAAGAGAAAAUAGUUAAUAAUCAGACACACAAGUAAAAAUAUCAUAUGCCAAAAACCAUUAAAAUCUGUGAGAAAAAAUAAGCACAAUGAGGGCGUAGAUAGUGCUCAGGAAGGGAAGGGGGCAGUGGAGUUGAAUGUGACUUAUUGAAUAUAAAAUUCCUAGGUACUUUGAGGUGACUGUAACAAAAUGCAUUGGCCUGGCUGACUUGAACAACAGCUUCUCACAGUUCUGGGGCUGGUAGUCCAAGAUCAGGGUGGCAGUCCCACUGGUUUCUGGUCAAAGCCCAAAGCACUGGCUUCUACUGAAGCUGGGUACUCAGAGUUGAAUGUCAAGGCUUGUGAGAUGCACCCAGCAGUCAUUUCUCCCAGUCUUGUUAAUCUGCCAGGGUGCUGCAAGGAAGCUGAGCAGAUCUGUGAUGCCAAAAGCCUAGUGGACCUCGUCUCAGACGUAGCAAACCUCAUCAUCACCUUCUGGGCUUGAGCCUCGCCUUCUUCGAAGUGGUGGGAUUCUCUCCUCCUUACUUGUAAAAUAUCCUCUAGAGGCUAGACUUUCAGAAAACAAAAGCCUGAAAGAAGGUCUUUAGGUAUUUUAUUUUAUUUUACUUUUUGCCCCACAUCAAAAUCUAGCUCUGUUAUGGGAAGGGGCAAACAGUUCCUCUCUUCCUCUCAUUAUUUCA